ACAGUCGUGGCCGAGUGGUUAAGGCGAUAGACUAAAAAUCCAUCCGGGUCUCCCCGCACAGGUUCAAAUCCUGUCGACUGCG
rnacentral:tRNA from 1 species